CGCGUAGGUUGUUUGUUAAGUGAGAUGUGAAAUCCCUGGGCUUAACCUAGGAACUGCAUCUUAAACUGGCGAACUGGAGUACUGUAGAGGGUAGUGGAAUUUCCGGUGUAGCGGUGAAAUGCGUAGAUAUCGGAAGGAACACCAGUGGCGAAGGCGGCUACCUGGACAGAUACUGACACUGAGGCGCGAAAGCGUGGGGAGCAAACAGGAUUAGAUACCCUGGUAGUCCACGCUGUAAACGAUGUGAACUAGAUGUUGGAGGGCAUGACCCUCUAGUAUCGUAGCAAACGCGAUAAGUUCACCGCCUGGGGAGUACGGCCGCAAGGUUAAA
rnacentral:rRNA from 1 species